GUGGGGAAUAUUGGGCAAUGGGCGAAAGCCUGACCCAGCAACGCCGCGUGAAGGAAGAAGGUUUUCGGAUCGUAAACUUCUAUCCUUGGUGAAGAUAAUGACGGUAGCCAAGAAGGAAGCCCCGGCUAACUACGUGCCAGCAGCCGCGGUAAUACGUAGGGGGCAAGCGUUGUCCGGAAUGAUUGGGCGUAAAGGGCGCGUAGGCGGCCCGGUAAGUCUGAAGUGAAAGUCCUGCUUUUAAGGUGGGAAUUGCUUUGGAUACUGUCGGGCUUGAGUGCAGGAGAGGUAAACGGAAUUCCCGGUGUAGCGGUGAAAUGCGUAGAGAUCGGGAGGAACACCAGUGGCGAAGGCGGCUUACUGGACUGUAACUGACGCUGAGGCGCGAAAGUGUGGGGAGCAAACAGGAUUAGAUACCCUGGUAGUCC
rnacentral:rRNA from 1 species